rnacentral:rRNA from 1 species
AACGAACGCUGGCGGCAUGCCUAACACAUGCAAGUCGAACGAGACCUUUUAGGUCUAGUGGCGCACGGGUGCGUAACGCGUGGGAAUCUGCCCCAAGGUUCGGAAUAACUCAGGGAAACUUGAGCUAAUACCGGAUAAUGUCUUCGGACCAAAGGUUUACUGCCUUGGGAUGAGCCCGCGUAGGAUUAGCUAGUUGGUGGGGUAAAGGCUCACCAAGGCGACGAUCCUUAGCUGGUCNGAGAGGAUGAUCAGCCACACUGGGACUGAGACACGGCCCAGACUCCUACGGGAGGCAGCAGUGGGGAAUAUUGGACAAUGGGCGAAAGCCUGAUCCAGCAAUGCCGCGUGAGUGAUGAAGGCCUUAGGGUUGUAAAGCUCUUUCAGUAGGGAAGAUAAUGACGGUACCUACAGAAGAAGCCCCGGCUAACUUCGUGCCAGCCGCCGCUGU